rnacentral:rRNA from 1 species
GACGAACGCNGGCGGCGUGCUUAACACAUGCAAGUCGAACGAAGAGCGAUGGAAGCUUGCUUCUAUCAAUCUUAGUGGCGAACGGGUGAGUAACGCGUAAUCAACCUGCCCUUCAGAGGGGGACAACAGUUGGAAACGACUGCUAAUACCGCAUACGAUCUAAUCUCGGCAUCGAGGAUAGAUGAAAGGUGGCCUCUAUUUAUAAGCUAUCACUGAAGGAGGGGAUUGCGUCUGAUUAGCUAGUUGGAGGGGUAACGGCCCACCAAGGCGAUGAUCAGUAGCCGGUCUGAGAGGAUGAACGGCCACAUUGGGACUGAGACACGGCCCAGACUCCUACGGGAGGCAGCAGUGGGGAAUCUUCCGCAAUGGACGAAAGUCUGACGGAGCAACGCCGCGUGAGUGAUGACGGCCUUCGGGUUGUAAANCU